AAUUUUCACAAACAUAUUACAACAUACAGUCAUAGAAUACAGGUGGGAAUUAGUUACAGAAGUAGAUCAGUCCUCUCCACUGCAAGCAUUACUAUUCCCCUUGGGUUCCCAAUUUGAGUUUGCAAUAAGAGGUACAAGUCUACAGGUAUCAUUGGACGUGUUCAAGCAUGCUGUUUAUGCUUGGUGUGUCACUUAGGUGUGUAACUGCUCUUGUUCACUGAACCUCCAUGUGUACUGCUAAAAUCGCAGUCCCGGGCAUGGGAUCAUUUUCCAUUUCCCUGCCAUGUGACCA